CAGCGCCACGAGUGGUAACCACGUUUAUUGGGCCUAAAGCGUCCGUAGCCGGUUUGAUAAAUCUUUUGUGAAAUUGUACAGCUUAACUGUACAGCGUGCAAGAGACACUGUCAAACUUGAGACCGGGAGGAGUCAGAAGUAUUCCAGAGGGAGCGGUAAAAUGUUAUAAUCUCUGGAGGACUACCUGUGGCGAAGGCGUCUGACCAGAACGGAUCUGACGGUGAGGGACGAAAGCCAGGGGAGCAAACCGGAUUAGAUACCCGAGUAGUCC
rnacentral:rRNA from 1 species